GAUGAACGCUGGCGGCGUGCCUAAUACAUGCAAGUCGAACGCUUCACUUCGGUGAAGAGUGGCGAACGGGUGAGUAAUACAUAAGUAACCUGGCAUCUACAGGGGGAUAACUGAUGGAAACGUCAGCUAAGACCGCAUAGGUGUAGAGAUCGCAUGAACUCUAUGUGAAAAGUGCUACGGGACUGGUAGAUGAUGGACUUAUGGCGCAUUAGCUUGUUGGUAGGGUAACGGCCUACCAAGGCGACGAUGCGUAGCCGACCUGAGAGGGUGACCGGCCACACUGGGACUGAGACACGGCCCAGACUCCUACGGGAGGCAGCAGUAGGGAAUUUUCGGCAAUGGGGGAAACCCUGACCGAGCAACGCCGCGUGAAGGAAGAAGUAAUUCGUUAUGUAAACUUCUGUCAUAGAGGAAGAACGGUGGAUAUAGGGAAUGAUAUCCAAGUGACGGUACUCUAUAAGAAAGCCACGGCUAACUACGUG
rnacentral:rRNA from 1 species